GCCAAUCGAAGCUCGUUCUGUUUUUUUUUAAAUGUAGAUCGAGUUAAUGGACUGUUCUUCAUUUUGAUUUAUGUGUUGUUUCGGCAUUCCGUUGGCCGGCUGUUGUUUUUAGUUAUUCGUUGUGGUUUUUGCUGCAUCGCGGCCGGCUCGGUAAAUAACGUUGGCCUGGCUAAUUAGGAAAAAACUGUUUGUUUUUAUUCAGGAUCCUCUCGUUAUAUAUUCUUGAGUGAAACCGUCGGCUCUUCGCACAGAUUCAUCUUUCUUUAAACAAACUUUCCUGACACAAAACAAGAUUAAAAACUAUAAUGUAUAACUUAGGUCAGGCCACGGCGGGGGUGCGGCAGGGCGCCGGCGGGGCGGGGAGAGGGGUACUUCAUAAGUUCAAUUGGUCGAAAAAUUGGCACCGGCUAAUCACGUCCUUUGAAUCUGAAUGUUUAGUUCGAGAGUGAGACAGUAGAUAAAAAAGGAAAAAGUUGUUAAAUAAAUAUU